rnacentral:lncRNA from 1 species
CAGAGGUCAGUUUCUGACGCCAGAGUUCCUGCUUCAUCUUUUGAGGGCCAUGGGCACACUGAGCUGACCUGCAGAGAAGGCAAGAAAGCAGAGACUGACUUCAAACAAUUUGCCUGGAGGGGGAAGAAGGAGAACAACGCUUGACCAAGUGAUUACACUUGUUAGUACCACAGAAACUCCACUGACUUCACUGGAACUAUUCAGUGUGCACUCAUAAGAAGAGGAUGGGUCCCAAAGUUACACUUGUACAGAAAUCUGCAG